UAGGAUUGAAAUGCGGCUAGGCUGUCAUAAGCUCAAGACGCACUUAAAGCCAUCUUUAAGAUGAUCCUAGCAUCUUUGAUCAAUUUAAUCCCACGAAAGCUAGGGCACAAACUGGGAUUAGAUACCCCAUUAUGCCUAGCCCUAAAUCUUGAUGCUUACCACACCAAAGCAUCCGCCUGAGAACUACGAGCACAAACGCUUAAAACUCUAAGGACUUGGCGGUGCUCCAAACCCACCUAGAGGAGCCUGUUCUAUAAUCGAUAACCCACGAUUCACCCGACCACCCCUUGCCAGAGCAGCCUACAUACCGCCGUCGCCAGCUCACCUCCCCUGAGAGCCCUACAGUGAGCACAAUAGCCUAAACCCGCUAAUAAGACAGGUCAAGGUAUAGCCUAUGGGGUGGAAGAAAUGGGCUACAUUUUCUACAAUAGAAAACCCACGAAAGAGGACAUGAAACAGUCCCCGGAAGGCGGAUUUAGCAGUAAAGUAGGACAAUAGAGCCCUCUUUAAGUCGGCCCUGGAGCACGUACAUACCGCCCGUCACCCUCC
rnacentral:rRNA from 1 species